CCUACGGGUGGCAGCAGUAGGGAAUUUUCGGCAAUGGGGGGAACCCUGACCGAGCAACGCCGCGUGAACGAAGAAGUAUCUCGGUACGUAAAGCUCUAUCAGCAGGGAAGAAAAUGACGGUACCUGACUAAGAAGCCCCGGCUAACUACGUGCCAGCAGCCGCGGUAAUACGUAGGGGGCAAGCGGUAUCCGGAUUUACUGGGUGUAAAGGGAGCGUAGACGGCAGCACAAGUCUGGAGUGAAAUCCCGGGGCUUAACCCCGGAACUGCUUUGGAAAUUGGGCGGCUGGAGUGCAGGAGGGGUAAGCGGAAUUCCUGGUGUAGCGGUGAAAUGCGUAGAUAUUAGGAGGAACACCGGUGGCGAAGGCGGCUUACUGGAGUGUAACUGACGUUGAGGCUCGAAAGCGUGGGGAGCAAACAGGAUUAGAUACCCGGGUAGUC
rnacentral:rRNA from 1 species